GUUGGGUGAGAAAGCUACGUGUUUCAUCAUUAUCAAACAGGAGAGAGAAAAGGCCAGAGACAUCAGUCGAGUGAGCAUCUCCGACACGGCAACAACUGCUGUGGCCUAUCUGUCACCAUCUGCCUUCUUCACUGUAUUGCCAGUUAGCACCCAUGGAUAAUAAGGUGUCGUAUGCUGUUGGGUGUUGUAUCGUUGAUGGCUGGGUCGACCACUGGUGUACCGAUGUCCUUACUACACAAAAGCAACUAACGCAACGACCAGUUACUGUACCGAGGUCUACAAGUACAACACUACUAAAGCACCGGAGUCCACAACUCACGCUGCCCCGAUCCACUACAGUGACGCCCUGAAGUAUUACUCUGCCCCGAGUUACUACACCACCAAGGGGACGGAGCAGGACUGCGCAUGCUGCCCCAUUCUACUACACCAAGGCUCCCAGGCUCAUGCUGAUAACUCCACCAAAUCGGUCGAAUACUACACCGAAGCGGCAAAGUACUUCUCUGCCCCGAUCUACACAACCACAACUGAGGCGGCCAAGGAUGACGCAGUCCAGACUUACUACACAGAAGCUGCCCUUUCGUGCUACGUUGAACAGAAAUACUACACUGAUGCUCCAGUCUACUACACCACGACCUACGCUACACCGCAGCCCCGAAGUACUACACCGAAGAAGCUGCCUAAUCCCCAACAACAGCGUAUGCUGCCUAGUUUACUACACCGAGGCUC